rnacentral:rRNA from 1 species
AGGACCGAACCGACUAAUGUUGAAAAAUUAGCGGAUGACCUGUGGCUGGGGGUGAAAGGCCAAUCAAACCGGGAGAUAGCUGGUUCUCCCCGAAAGCUAUUUAGGUAGCGCCUCGUGAAUUCAUCUCCGGGGGUAGAGCACUGUUUCGGCUAGGGGGCCAUCCCGGCUUACCAACCCGAUGCAAACUGCGAAUACCGGAGAAUGUUAUCACGGGAGACACACGGCGGGUGCUAACGUCCGUCGUGAAGAGGGAAACAACCCAGACCGCCAGCUAAGGUCCCAAAGUCAUGGUUAAGUGGGAAACGAUGUGGGAAGGCCCAGACAGCCAGGAUGUUGGCUUAGAAGCAGCCAUCAUUUAAAGAAAGCGUAAUAGCUCACUGGUCGAGUCGGCCUGCGCGGAAGAUGUAACGGGGCUAAACCAUGCACCGAAGCUGCGGCAGCGAACGUAUCACCCAAGACAACUUUGCGGAGUUGACGAUUGACGGAGCGAAGCGACGUCAAAGCGUUCAUUAAAGUCGAGUUGGCUUAGGGAUACGUUCGUUGGGUAGGGGAGCGUUCUGUAAGCCAGUGAAGGUGUGUCGUGAGGCAUGCUGGAGGUAUCAGAAGUGCGAAUGCUGACAUAAGUAACGAUAAAGCGGGUGAAAAGCCCGCUCGCCGGAAGACCAAGGGUUCCUGUCCAACGUUAAUCGGGGCAGGGUGAGUCGACCCCUAAGGCGAGGCCGAAAGGCGUAGUCGAUGGGAAACGGGUUAAUAUUCCCGUACUUGGUGUUACUGCGAAGGGGGGACGGAGAAGGCUAUGUUGGCCGGGCGACGGUUGUCCCGGUUUAAGCGUGUAGGUGUGUGUUCCAGGUAAAUCCGGUUCACUUUAACACUGAGGCGUGAUGACGAGGCACUACGGUGCUGAAGCAACAAAUGCCCUGCUUCCAGGAAAAGCCUCUAAGCAUCAGGUAACAUCAAAUCGUACCCCAAACCGACACAGGUGGUCAGGUAGAGAAUACCAAGGCGCUUGAGAGAACUCGGGUGAAGGAACUAGGCAAAAUGGUGCCGUAACUUCGGGAGAAGGCACGCUGACACGUAGGUGAAGUGAUUUACUCACGGAGCUGAAGUCAGUCGAAGAUACCAGCUGGCUGCAACUGUUUAUUAAAAACACAGCACUGUGCAAACACGAAAGUGGACGUAUACGGUGUGACGCCUGCCCGGUGCCGGAAGGUUAAUUGAUGGGGUCAGCGCAAGCGAAGCUCCUGAUCGAAGCCCCGGUAAACGGCGGCCGUAACUAUAACGGUCCUAAGGUAGCGAAAUUCCUUGUCGGGUAAGUUCCGACCUGCACGAAUGGCGUAAUGAUGGCCAGGCUGUCUCCACCCGAGACUCAGUGAAAUUGAACUCGCUGUGAAGAUGCAGUGUACCCGCGGCAAGACGGAAAGACCCCGUGAACCUUUACUAUAGCUUGACACUGAACAUUGAGCCUUGAUGUGUAG